UGACUCCAUUCCGAACUCAGAAGUGAAACGAAAUAGCGCCGAUGGUAGUGUGGGGCUUCCCCAUGUGAGAGUAGGACAUCGCCAGGC
rnacentral:rRNA from 1 species